AGGGAGACCUAAUUCAGGUAGGAGACGAAAAAAAGUAGUCCCUACCAAGAAUCAAUCCCAAAAGGUCGGAGCGAGGCAAAAUUGGCUUUCAAACUAGGUUCUGGGUUCACAUAAGACCUGAAUCAGGAACAAGGGCUAUUAGCUCAGGUGGUUAGAGCGCACCCCUGAUAAGGGUGAGGUCCCUGGUUCGAGUCCAGGAUGGCCCACCUGCACAGGUGGCAAAAACAAAGAAAAGAAGCUCCGAAUCAGCACCUUAUCUUACUCAUAUAGUAAGUAAGAGAGAAUGCUGGCUCUGAGUUCAGAGUCCAGAGGAACCUUGAAAACUGCAUAGAGCUAGGUGAAAAAGCCAAAAAAGAAGACCGCAAGGUCAAGCUAAUAAGGGCUAACGGUGGAUACCUAG
rnacentral:tRNA from 1 species